GGAUGAACGCUGGCGGCGUGCCUAAUACAUGCAAGUCGAGCGAACGGACGAGAAGCUUGCUUCUCUGAUGUUAGCGGCGGACGGGUGAGUAACACGUGGAUAACCUACCUAUAAGACUGGGAUAACUUCGGGAAACCGGAGCUAAUACCGGAUAAUAUUUUGAACCGCAUGGUUCAAAAGUGAAAGACGGUCUUGCUGUCACUUAUAGAUGGAUCCGCGCUGCAUUAGCUAGUUGGUAAGGUAACGGCUUACCAAGGCAACGAUGCAUAGCCGGCCUGAGAGGGUGAUCGGCCACACUGGAACUGAGACACGGUCCAGACUCCUACGGGAGGCAGCAGUAGGGAAUCUUCCGCAAUGGGCGAAAGCCUGACGGAGCAACGCCGCGUGAGUGAUGAAGGUCUUCGGAUCGUAAAACUCUGUUAUUAGGGAAGAACAUAUGUGUAAGUAACUGUGCACAUCUUGACGGUACCUAAUCAGAAAGCCACGGCUAACUACGUG
rnacentral:rRNA from 1 species